UACGGAGGGUGCAAGCGUUAUCCGGAUUCACUGGGUUUAAAGGGUGCGUAGGUGGGUCUGUAAGUCAGUGGUGAAAAUCUCCAAGCUUAACUUGGAAACUGCCAUUGAUACUAUAGGUCUUGAAUAUCCUGGAGGUGAGCGGAAUAUGUCAUGUAGCGGUGAAAUGCUUAGAUAUGACAUAGAACACCAAAUUGCGAAGGCAGCUCACUACGGGAUUAUUGACACUGAGGCACGAAAGCGUGGGGGAUCAAAACAGG
rnacentral:rRNA from 1 species